CUUCGGGCCCUGUGCAACAGAAACCCGCAAACCCCGCCAGGUCCGGAAGGAAGCAACGGUAGCGGGAUCUUCGGUGUGCCACAGCGUGUCCCGAAGUCU
rfam:Acidobacteria bacterium RIFCSPLOWO2_02_FTLL_60_20 rifcsplowo2_02_scaffold_38053, whole genome shotgun sequence.